CCCAGGCCUCCUCUGGACGGAUUUACGACGUCCCGGGCCCGCCCGCGCACCUUAGACGCCCAGACCCGGAGGGCUCUCUAUCCUGCAGUCCUCCGGAGUUCGCUCGGCUCCUCUCUCCAGCCCUUUCCUUCGCCUCUACUGUCCUUGCCGCCUAGCUCAGAACGGAAACGGAGUCAGACCACAGCUCUACAUGACUCAAUUGGACAUGUCAGAUGACAGACUGGGCAAGUAUAGCCCCUCCCUCAAUGGCUGCCAUGGAAACCUAAGUCCUGGUUUAUGAAGUGGCAGGGCUCUGCUGAGUUAUGAGCAGCUGAAGUCAGUGUGACCUCAAUUAAAAUCUUUUCCCCUGAAUUAUGGCUUCUCAGUGACCUGCUGGGGGACACAAAGAGAUUCAUCCACCCUGGGCAUAUUUCCUGAGUCUUGGGACUCAGGAAGUACAGCUAUGCAUCACUUAAGGACAAGGACAUAUUCUAAGAAAUGUGUUCAAGAGACUUUGUCACCAUGUGAAUGAACAUGAAGGAGUGCACGUGUACAGCCUAGAUAACAUGCCCUACUUCACACCUAUGCUGUAUGGAAUUUAGAUGUGGUGCACCUACUGCUCCUGGGGCUGUGAUGAACAAAACAACCCAAGAGUAAAUGAAGCACAAGAAAACAUGAUGCAACUGAGUCACAGCAGACAUGAGAAAACAUUGGGGAAAUUUCCUUGGCAAUGGUCUUGGCAGUAACUCUUUAGAUGAUACUAAAAGUAGAGGGAAUAAAAGCAAAAAUAUCUAAGUAAGAUUACCUCAAACUACAAAUAUUUUAUACAGCAAGAGAAUGAAAAAGAAGAUCCAAAGACUGGGAGAAAAUAUUUGCAAUCUCUAUGUAUGACAAACGGCUAAUAUCUAAAAUGUGUAAGGAACUCCUAUAACUCAACAGCAGAAAAACAAAUAACCCAAUUAAAAAUGGUCAAAGGACUUGAAGAAACAUUUCUCCAAAGAAGAUAUACAAAUGGCCAAAAGGUAUAUGAAAAAAGGCUCAGCACUAGUUGUCAGGGAAAUGCAAAUCAAACCCUCAGUGAACCAUCACGUCACACUGGUUAGGAAGGCUAUUAUCAAAAAGACUAAAGACAGUAAGUGUUGAGGGUGUGGAGAAAAGCCUCUGUAUAUUGUUGGUGGGAAUGUAAAUUAGCACAGUCAUAUGGAAAACAGCAGGGAGCCUCUCAAAGCAUGAUGCAGAACUACCAUAUAAUCCAGCAAUCCCUCCUCAGGUAUGUAGCCAAAUGAAUUGAAAUCAAGAUCUCAAAGAGAUAUCUGUACUCAUGGUCAGUGCAAUAUUCACAGUAGCCAAGAUAGGGAAACAACGAAAGUAUCCAUCAGUGAAUGGCUGAAUAAAGAAAAUGUGGCAUAUUCACACAAUGGAAUAUUGUUCAACCUUUAAGAAAGAAAAUCCUGUGGUUCUGCUGCCUGCCUCAAAAGCACAAGGUCCCAAGUUCGAUCCCUGGUACCCCCCAAAAAAGAAAGAAAAUCCUGCCAUUUGUAAUAUUAACAAACCUGGAAGAUAUUAUGUUAAAUGAAAUAAAUCAGUCACAGACUAACAUUCUCAGCACAUAUAUACAGAGGUAUGCAAAAGACUCAGUUUACAGGAGCAGAAUAGAAUGGUGGCUGGGAGUUAAGGAGAAGAAAUGGAGAUGUUGGUCCAAGGAUAUGAAGUGUCAGGCAGGAUAAAUAACAAGAUCUAAUGUACAGCAUGGUGAGCAGUUAUUAACACUGUGUUGUGUACUUACAGUUUUCAGAUAGAUUUUACACAUUCUCACCAACAAAACAAAACAGUAACGAUGUGAGGUGAUAAGAUUUUGAUAAUCAUUUCAUAAACAUUAUGUUUUACUUCAUAAAUAUAGAUAACUUUUGUCAAUUAUAGCUCAUUAUAUUGUAGCAAAUAUAACUUGAAGUUUUGUAGCUCUAGGUGAUAUAACAGAGUCAGGCCGAGAAGAAUCCAGCACACACCCUGGAAGUUGGAGGCAGGUUAUUUCACUAGCACACUGAUGGGGACUUCUCCACAAAACGAUCAGGCCCAGCUUGGGGGUGAACAGGCUUUAUAUAGAUUUGGGAACGGAGAGGUAAGGAUUCAGUGGCAAGAUACUCAACAUUAAUUCAUUGGUUGAGGUAGAUACAUUCAGCUUAUACAAUUGCAUAGAAAGGUACACUAGGAUUCACCUUAUUUAUGUAAGCGGGAAGCAGGGGUCACAGAAACCCUACUGAGAACAAAGGACAGUGGAAACAUGUCUGGGACUCACUCAGACUUGCUGGACAUGUUUUACGUGUGGGAGGGGUCAGAGCUAGAAGGAGCCUUUUGUCUGCUACCUGGUUAGCUGCAGCAUCAUCAAAUGAUUCAUGGUCAGAAUCAUUUCCCUGUUCAAUGAAAGCUGGAAAAAACUUGUUAUAUAAACCUAACAAAGGGGUUAAUGAUUAUUCCCAGUUUUUCUUCACUUGACAAUCCAAUUUUGUCUGUUCUUCAAAGCCCCCUGUAAGAUGUAUUUCCUGGGUCAUUAACUAUUCUGAGUAUGAUGGAAGCCACUGACAUACUCCCCAAAACAUGUAGUUCAUAUAUGAACAAAUUCAUAAAACACUUGAGUGCUAGAUUAAACAGUAUGAAGAGAAAAUGAAGAAUGCCAGUUCCUCCCUUUAUGCUUAUAAAACUCUUAAAUGUGUUUCAGAGCAGAGAAGGUGAGGGCUUCAGAAUCCCAAAGGAUGAGAGAAAUGAUGAGCCAGCCACUUAUCCUGGCAACAUCCCUUAUAUCAAAUUAUCCAUAUUAGUUAUAAAGGUAGUUAUGGUCAGAUAGAUGGCUAGUGAAAGCUAUCACCUAGUUAAAAGGGAGUGAGAACCUAGUUACAUUAGUAAGGCAAGAAGGUAGUCAGUGAUUAGAAUGCUGCUCAGGCAGGCAAAUACCAAACUGAGGUCAGAACCCAAAGAGGAGUUUCAUUAUUGUCUCAAUAUUUAGGGUGGAAACACCUGCUCCAAAAUAGGAUCAUCAAUACCCCCAAAUUAUAGUAGGAUAAAGACAUUUCUAAGAAAGUAGUGGGGAAAACCUAAAGAUACCUGUGCCUCCAUAUGAGGCCUCUAGUUGCUGGAAAGAGACCUGUUACAAAGGACCAGAGAUGAGGCAAGACAAGGUCCCAGGGAACUGUCCCCACAAGGACGUUAGGACUGUGGCGAGGAUUUUUCAGGAAAGGGGGAAAGCAUUGUCAGCCUGAGCCCCCAGUCCCUCCAUGCUAUACUAAUAAAAGAAGGUUGUCAUAAAAGCCUAGACCUGGCCCCACUCAGCUGUCUGCUUCUGGUUCACACACUUCCUCGCACACCUGAAUCCUG